AUAUUUCGGAAAUGAGUCUAGUUCCUUCGAUAUCAAUGCAAUCUAGUAAUCAUCGAUAUCGAAGGAACUAGACUCAGUUCCGAAAUAU